UGGGGAAUUUUGCACAAUGGACGAAAGUCUGAUGCAGCAACGCCGCGUGAAGGAUGAAGGUCUUAGGAUUGUAAACUUCUGUUAGGUGGGAAAAAAUACUCGGUGCUAAUAUCACCGAGGGAUGAUGGUACCAUCAAAGAAAGCCCCGGCUAACUUCGUGCCAGCAGCCGCGGUAAUACGAAGGGGGCAAGCGUUAUUCGGAAUGACUGGGCGUAAAGGGCGUGUAGGUGGCUUUGUAAGUCAGUUGUUAAAUGCUAUGGCUUAACCAUAGAAAUGCGAUUGAUACUGCGAAGCUAGAGUGUGAGAGAGAGAAGUGGAAUUCUCGGAGUAGCGGUAAAAUGCGUAGAUCUCGAGAGGAACACCGGUGGCGAAGGCGGCUUCUUGGCUCACUACUGACACU
rnacentral:rRNA from 1 species